ACUGGGCAGAGCCCUGUGAUGGCUGCGGUGCAAUGGAGGGACUGCGAUCCUCUGUAGAGCUGAGGCCUGGGCUGACCCCUUGGGAAGCUGGACGAGGUGACUGUGGAGAUGCUCGGUGCACGACUCACCUUCCAUAGCCUCCAGGGGUAGACACUGGUGUGUCCACUGCUCACUGGCUCAUGGGUUGGUCUCUUAUUUUUAUUGAGACCUGUUCAAUCUGUUAGAAACUGACUUUACAUAAGGCAUGAAAAGAAGCCUGCGGAAUCACUGGCUACACAGAUUGAGGAUAAAUACCAACUCACUGACAAACGGCACUUGUGUUCAGAGUGUUCAGAGAUGGAGUCAUUUUUAGAAAUGCCAGGCUAGAGAGUGUUUCAGUAUAGCCACCCUUGCCGAGGCUUACAGAAGGGCAAAGACCACCAUCUCAAGAUUGAUGGAAGAAUCAGUUUUCUUGGUUCAAGAAAUGAAGACGGAGAAAUACAAAUGUUCUAAACAAGAAGAGGUGACAGACGAGAGGCUAAAAAUGCUAGAGUUCCUAGAAGAGCUCAUAGGAAUCACCCCAUCACAAGCAAUCUUUCCAAACCUCCCAGGAGGCCAAGAGCCAAGCAAGCCCUGCUGGUCCCUUCCCCAGGAGUGGGCCUGGGUCUUAAAGAGUGCUGCCCCUCCCCUCCACUCAGGCCUCCCAAGCUGCCAGGUGCAUUCACUCACUUCGACUCCAUCUGAGGGUCCAGGGGAGCCCCUUCCUGGGCUGGAGUUCCUCCCCCAUCACAUGCUGGACACAGCAGUCGGCUCCUUCAUGGGCAAUUUCUCCAAAUUUAAAGAAGACUGGAGAUCCCGGAACACAGCAAGAAAUGUGAAAGUUUCUCAGAAAGUUUGAUUCUCUCUCAUUGGCAGUGAAAGAAAUGCUAUACUUGAGACACUAAUCUCUUCCUCAAAUUGAAACAUCAUCAAAAUACAUUUCUCAAGAUAAAGCUCUGCAAAUGUUAACUAUAUAAGUAAAUAAUUUACAUUUUAUUCUCCAAUUAUUGUAUUAUACUUUGAAAAUAUAUGCAGUUUGUUAAUAAAGACUUUUAGUACUCAAUAGCAA
rnacentral:antisense_RNA from 1 species